rnacentral:tRNA from 1 species
UAGAGCAAAGCAUUUCAAAACUUAUGAUGCAAGAAAGUGUUAUUUUCUAGAAAUAAACUCUAG